rnacentral:rRNA from 1 species
UACGUAGGGGGCAAGCGUUGUCCGGAUUUAUUGGGCGUAAAGAGCGUGUAGGCGGCCAGGUAGGUCCGUUGUGAAAACUCGAGGCUCAACCUCGAGACGCCGAUGGAAACCAUCUGGCUAGAGUCCGGAAGAGGAGAGUGGAAUUCCUGGUGUAGCGGUGAAAUGCGCAGAUAUCAGGAAGAACACCCGUGGCGAAGGCGGCUCUCUGGUACGUGACUGACGCUGAGACGCGAAAGCGUGGGGAGCAAACAGG